GACGAACGCUGGCGGCGUGCUUAACACAUGCAAGUCGAACGGAAAGGCCCUGCUUUUGUGGGGUGCUCGAGUGGCGAACGGGUGAGUAACACGUGAGUAACCUGCCCUUGACUUUGGGAUAACUUCAGGAAACUGGGGCUAAUACCGGAUAGGAGCUCCUGCUGCAUGGUGGGGGUUGGAAAGUUUCGGCGGUUGGGGAUGGACUCGCGGCUUAUCAGCUUGUUGGUGGGGUAGUGGCUUACCAAGGCUUUGACGGGUAGCCGGCCUGAGAGGGUGACCGGCCACAUUGGGACUGAGAUACGGCCCAGACUCCUACGGGAGGCAGCAGUGGGGAAUAUUGCACAACGGACGGAAGCCUGAUGCAGCAACGCCGCGUGCGGGAUGACGGCCUUCGGGUUGUAAACCGCUUUCGCCUGUGACGAAGCGUGAGUGACGGUAAUGGGUAAAGAAGCACCGGCUAACUACGUG
rnacentral:rRNA from 1 species